GACGAACGCUGGCGGCGUGCUUAACACAUGCAAGUCGAACGGUGAAGCGCCUUCCUUUUUGGUGGGUGUGGAUGAGUGGCGAACGGGUGAGUAACACGUGAGUAACCUGCCCCCUUCUUCUGGAUAACCGCAUGAAAGUGUGGCUAAUACGGGAUAUUCUGGGUCUGUCGCAUGAUGGGUCUGGGAAAGAUAUUGUUUCGGUGGGGGAUGGGCUCGCGGCCUAUCAGCUUGUUGGUGGGGUGAUGGCCUACCAAGGCGGUGACGGGUAGCCGGCCUGAGAGGGUGGCCGGUCACACUGGGACUGAGACACGGCCCAGACUCCUACGGGAGGCAGCAGUGGGGAAUAGUGCACAAUGGGCGCAAGCCUGAUGCAGCGACGCCGCGUGAGGGAUGGAGGCCUUCGGGUUGUGAACCUCUUUCGCCAGUGAAGCAGGCCUGCCUCGUUUGUGGGUGGGUUGACGGUAGCUGGAUAAGAAGCGCCGGCUAACUACGUG
rnacentral:rRNA from 1 species